rnacentral:rRNA from 1 species
AGCGCAGACGGUUGAUUAAGUCUGAUGUGAAAGCCCGGAGCUCAACCCCGGAAUGGCAUUGGAAACUGGUUAACUUGAGUGCAGUAGAGGUAAGUGGAACUCCAUGUGUAGCGGUGGAAUGCGUAGAUAUAUGGAAGAACACCAGUGGCGAAGGCGGCUUACUGGACUGUAACUGACGUUGAGGCUCGAAAGUGUGGGUAGCAAACA